UCUCCAAGGAAUUUCAGGUUCACAAAAGUUUCAAAUACACAAGGCAUACGGCAGCCCAGACCACUUGCCUUCUGCUCACACAUGCUUCAACCAGUUAGAUUUACCAGAGUAUCCGUCAAAACAGCAUCUGGAAGAAAGAUUACUCCUUGCAAUUCACGAAGCAAAUGAAGGAUUCGGCUUUGGUUAAAGGGUUGCAGUUGUGAAAAAAAAGGUAUAAACAGUG
rnacentral:misc_RNA from 1 species